UGAGUAUUUACUGCAGACAUGCCGUGGGCCACCUGAAUGAAGUUCGCAGACCACUUUGUGCUUUACAGACCACAGUUUGGGAACCUCUGAUGCAGACUCACACAAUAAUAAAACACAAUCAUGCAAACAUCAAGUUAAGCUUGCUAUUUAAAUUUGCAAUACAUAUAAUCCCUUCUCUCAAUGAAUCCUGAUGUAAAUAGUUUUCAGCCACUUAGCCAAAUUAUUGAAUUCUCCAUGCAUCUACUAUUAUAUUCCUAUUCAAAUAAAUAUAACACAAAAGCAGUAUGCUUAUUUCAAAACCUCAAUAUCCCUGCAACUUUAGGAGGAGUUGAGAUGCAAAUGAAAGCAGCCAAGUACUGCUUUGAAGGCAUACAGAGGUGCUGUAUCAUCAAUAUUAACAGUGCAAUUUAUACAUCUCAGAAGGAAGCCCUAUUGAGUUCAAUGGGACUUACUCCCAAGUAAGUGUCUAUAGCAGUGGUUCUCAAACUUGUUUCUCUGGGCCACACUUUUCAGAAUAAAAACAUGUGAAAAACAACUAGGAUUGUUCUCAGUAUCAUUUGAUGCUCUUGCUCUCAUUUUGAAAAGAUAAUCUAUUCAUAGUAUGCAAAUAAAAAAAAAGAUGUGAUACAAUACUACAUUCCUCUUCUGCCACAGAACUCCUGUGCACAUGCUUCCCUAUGUAUUUUGGCAAGCAGGAUAACCUUAUGUACAUAAGAGAGACUCAAUGCACUUAAGCCCCCAUUUCUGCAAGAAGGCGGCUAGAUCAGGAGCACCUCAAGCUUAGUGGAAAACCGAUUACUUAAACAAGGAGGACAGCAGAGGCUGAUUUCCUGAGUUAUGGAGACCACAUGGGUUUACUCUUCAGAAGCAACUUUAUCUCUGGGCCAGUUCUACAACUGGCAGAGCAAUCUUAUACAUGUCUAUUCAGAAGAUAUCUUUAGUGCAGUGGGACUAACCCUCAUGGAAGGAUUGCAGCCUUAGCUACUGUUAUAAAGAAUUAAAUAGACUUUUCUAUUAGCUAUGCAUGCCAAAGUCCAAUGUGGAAAAUAGAUUGCUGCAGUUCGAAUGAGAUGCUAAAAUGUAACCUCAGCAUAGGUUCUUCAAAAAUAAACUCUCUUCCCCCUUUU